rnacentral:rRNA from 1 species
AAUAGCGUAUAUUAAAGUUGUUGCAGUUAAAAAGCUCGUAGUUGGAUUUGUGGCGUACGGUGUGUUCCGGGCACUUGUUGUCUGAGUAACCUGCUGUUGCCAUCCUUGGGUGGAACCUGUGUGGCAUUAGGUUGUCGUGCAGGGGAUGCCCAUCAUUUACUGUGAAAAAAUUAGAGUGUUCAAAGCAGGCUUAUGCCGUUGAAUAUAUUAGCAUGGAAUAAUGAGAUAGGACUUUUUUGCUAUUUUGUUGGUUUGCGCAAGAAGGUAAUGAUUAAUAGGGACAGUUGGGGGUAUUCGUAUUCCAUUGUCAGAGGUGAAAUUCUUGGAUUUUUGGAAGACGAACUACUGCGAAAGCAUUUACCAAGGAUGUUUUCAUUAA